GCCUCCAUAACUCAGAUGGUAGAGUGCCUAGCUGUUAACUAGGAAGUCACAUGGUUCGAACCCUGUUGGCGGCG
rnacentral:tRNA from 1 species